rnacentral:rRNA from 1 species
UACGUAGGGGGCUAGCGUUGUCCGGAAUCAUUGGGCGUAAAGCGCGUGUAGGCGGCCCGGUAAGUCCGCUGUGAAAGUCGGGGGCUCAACCCUCGAAAGCCGGUGGAUACUGUCGGGCUCGAGUCCGGGAGAGGUGAGUGGAACUGCGAGUGUAGAGGUGAAAUUCGUAGAUAUUCGCAAGAACACCAGUGGCGAAGGCGGCUCACUGGCCCGGACUGACGCUGAGGUGCGAAGCGUGGGGAGCAAACAGGAUAGAA